GUUGGGCGCCUCCGUCAAGAUCGACCAGGGGCGCCCCAUCGACACCGGCAAGUCUUCUUGCUGCUGAACACGUCGCCAAGGCGGGCGGCUUCACGCAGAGGCGGCGUGAGCUGGCGCCGGCCGCCGCACCCGAUAUAUAAAAUGCAAUUACCACAAAUGUUUCAUGAUCGCAUCAUAUUAAAGUAAUUAGAUCGAGCGCCACCCGAGCCCUCGACGCGACUACGUCUAAUUAAGCUAACUCUUAUUAAGUUGCUAUGUCCAAUAAAUAUUGUUAAAGCAAGGUGAAAUGGAUGGGUGUAUGUUUAUACAUGUUUAUAUUAAAUAUCGUAGGUUAAUUAUUUCGUGCUGUUCGGAUAUCGAUGCAGGCAACAUCAGCGUAGUUGUAUGAGAGGAAAAUCACAAGUGUUUUUGUAUCGUAUAGAGUAAUUUAGACAGACUUGUAACAUACUCCGUUUCGCUCGCACUACGCUACGGCUGGGAGUGAAGUGCGAUGGAAGGUAAUUGCAUGGCACUUUACUCUAAAUAACACCUUACGCUUAACGUAAUAGACGCCCAUUCAUUCUAGCUCGGUCCGCAGUGAUAUGAGAAAUUAAAAACUCAAAUUUUUUGUAUGACUCAAUUGUAAAAGUAAUGUAAUUUGUGUAUAUUGCCAGUAGGGUUCUUCCACACAGUAGCGUAGUGUGCAGCCCUUACGUAACUUUCGACCUUCUCAGCUGUCCAUUCGUAGGCUUAAUAUUAUUGUUUUAUUCCAGCUUGUGUUACUCUAUAAUUUUAUCACGUGAAAUACUAAUUUAAUACUUCGUAUGCACUGGGUGUUUAUAUUAUUGAAUAAUAUCGUGAAGCGUUCUGGGGAGUGCUAUGUUGAAAAUUUUGUGUUAGAACUUUUAAAAUGUAAGACUACUCUGUCGUAACUUUUAACACAAAAUUGUAGAUAUAGCAAAUUGGCCUUAGAUAAUUUAGACAGAUAUUAUAUAGUAAACUUAUGUAGUCAUCGAUUAAAGUAAAGCGGGAUCAUAGUAUUAAUUAAAAGACAUAUUCAUAUAUCAAUAUCACAGAAGUAUUGUGAUAAUUUAAAAUUAAACAGCGAUUUAAUGUUCUAAGCGCGGUUGUAUAUUUGUAUCUGUUUCGUAUUGUGCGUCCUGUGUUCUGAGAAAGGAUUAGUAAAUAUGCUGAAGUAUUUAAUUGAUUGUGUUUAGAAUAUUAAAUCGUAUUAAUUAUUUUAUUACCUGUCGAUCUUUGUAACUUACUCGCAAUGUCGUUAUUUUUAUACUAUUAUGUCUGAGUUAAGUUUACUUAAAUCAAAUCCGCUAACCCACUGUAUUUCUGUAUUGAGGGUUUCUUAGAAAUUAAAACAGUAUGCUAUAUAAAAA